rnacentral:rRNA from 1 species
AUUGAACGCUGGCGGCAGGCCUAACACAUGCAAGUCGAACGAGUGGCGGACGGGUGAGUAAUGUCUGGGAAACUGCCUGAUGGAGGGGGAUAACUACUGGAAACGGUAGCUAAUCCCGCAUACCAUCAGAUUUGCCCAGAUGGGAGUAGCUGGUUUGUGGGGUAACGGCUCACCAAGGCUACGAUCCCUCGCUGGUCUGAGAGGAUGACCAGCCACACUGGAACUGGGAGACGGUCCAGACGACAACGGGAGGCAGCAGGGGGGAAUAUUGCACAAUGGGCGCAAGCCUGAUGCAGCCAUGCCGCGUGUAUGAAGAAGGCAUUCGGGUUGUAAAGUACUUUCAGCGGGGAGGCGUUAGCCGCAGAAGAAGCACCGGCUAACUCCGUGCCAGCAGCCGCGGUAAUAC